UAGAAUGUUCAGAGACGCCUCUAAGUCUUACGCGUUUGUUGGAGAACUUGUCAGAAAAACUAUCAGAGGCAGAAGAAACUAUGCCAACAGGAAACAAGAAUUUGUUAAGUCAAAUCCAGUAAAACGGUGGGGGUUUUGAAGCAGAGUAUAGGUACCCAAUCAUUUAAGGAACAGUGAGAACAGAGAAGGAGAGAAGCUCGAGACAGGGGGCUUACAUGGUUCACUUUUUGGGAUUAGAUUAGGCUCCAAAUCCUCAAAGGGCAUAGACCUUGCGUUUCUUACCAGCUUUCAUGAAUGUCAGUUUCCAGCAGAGGUACCAUGACAUUGCUCAGUGUCUGCCAUCCCAAGCUACAGGAGGCCAGGUGCAAACUCCCUUUCCACUUACACACACGGGUGCAUGUGCACAAACACACACAAAUACACACACACACACACAUCCCAUAAAGAGGAAUUCAUUUUUCUCUGAAGAUUUAGCAUAUGAAAUAGCUAAGAUUGUAAGGAACAUGUCUGCUCUGAAAAGUGAGUCUCUCUCCUAGACUUUCUUGUUAGGGGAGCUGGCCUUUAUCCAUGAAUUCAUUCCAUAUCUAGAGUACACAGCAAGUGCCAGAACUACACUGAAUGAAGUCGUGUUGAGUGUUGAAUGUGAAAAAAAGAUGAGCUGAGUAAUGAAGGGCAGAUUAGAGUUAGAGUCUGAAUAAUUUUCUAGGCGACCUGGAAUUUUUUUGGUGGAAAGGUAGAAGGUUUUUAAGCAAAUGUGUGACAUACUAAGGCAGAGUUUCAGGAAGAUCAUGUUGGGAGUGGCAAGAAGCCAGAGUAGAACAGAAAAAUGGAGAGUUGGGAAGAAGACACAAAAAACAGGGAAGUGAAUUGAAGGUUAUCGUAAGAAUGUGGAAGGAAGAUUUUAAAGGGUUUUGACAUGGGGUGAUGACUAUUCGAACCAUCAGGAGUGGACAGCUCUGAGAGACACUUACAGGAGUAAUCAGUAAGACUUGAAUGUGAGCAAUAGAGAAAGAGGAAGCAUACACAGCGCCAAAGUUUUCAGUGUGGAAGACCAGGAAACGGGUUGUUUCCCCUAAUACAGAACUGAAAGUAAGAAACAGGAGCCCUCCUUGGAGAACCUCAGAGAUAUGUGGGUCCACAGAGUCAUCCACUCAAGUGCCCCAUGUAAUGAUUUUAUGCUUUCUGCUUCCACCAAGUCUCCUUAGAGAACCACAGGACGGACUGGUCAGGGAAACAGCUGAGUGACCCCAAGUAUAGUAUUGGCCUGUAAUGGUAGGUCUACUGCAAGGAGACAUGGGGCGCUCAAACAGCAGGAUAUGCCCAGUCAAAGUCUUCCACAGGAAGGAGAGACUGACACACGAUGUCAAGUUGAAAGGGUCUAUGGGGAUAUGGAAGUUGGAGCGGCAAAGCUGUGAGACUAAUUCAGUAAAGAUGAAUUGCCUGGUAGUAGGGCAAAGGUAAAGCACUUGGUUCCUGCCAUAGUUCCAACAUAUCCGCUAUAAGGUGCUCUUCUCUGCCAGAAGAGGUCUAGUCUCCUGGCAAGAGGGAGUUUAUGGAAGUUCUUGUUCAGCUGAUAUCUGUCUUGCUUCAUUUACCACUAAUGUGUUUUCAUCCCUGGGGAGCACGGAAGAAAUACUUCAUCCAAACAGCUUUUCAGAUGUUUGAAGAUGGCUACCUUGUCCACUGCACCUGAAGCUUCUCUUCUUAAAGCUAAGGAGUCUUGUUUACCCUGACUUCUGAGAUACCAGAUUUUCUUCAUCCACUUGUCUAUUGAUGGACAUAUAAGCAGCUUCCGGGAUUCAGCUAUGAUGAACUGUGCUGCUAGAAACAUUGAUGGUGGAGUCAAACAUUCUUCUCUGAAAUAUAAGCUGCCACUAGUGUGAUGGGUUUCUAGGGUUGGAUAUGGUUGAAAGGACACACAGCAAUUUCUGAUGCCACAGUGCAAGGAGCACCUUCUGUCUGGCCGUCUCCUUUGUUACAUUUGCUUUUAGGGAUUUGAGUCACUUUUUCACACUGGAGAAACCAUAUGGAGAAGCCACAUGGAGAUCCAGUAAUGACUUUCCUAUCCUGAGCUACUUCAUCAAAAUGCUGUUAAGAUGGUUGAAUCUUCAUUGGAAUUAGGGGACUUGAAAGUUACUGUGGGAGGUGAGCUUCUAGCAUAUCACGCCUUCCACUAGGAGAAUCCCAGUCAAUUUCUGCUUUCAGUGUAGUUUCACUCCUUGCAACCUCCGCAACCUGCGGUGGGAGAGUUUCUUUGAUAUCUCUGGGCUAUGUGCAGUCGCCAUGUCUGUUUAAUUCUGAAGAUAAUUAAGACACUGUGAUGUGAUGCAGCAAAUACUCAUCAGAAGACACCUGACUGCUCUUUGCUCUCCUGCUGCUUACAGGACUUCAUGGGUCUCAGGAGAGAGAUUCUACAAUUUUUCUAUUAGCAGCAUUGUGUGAGAAUUGUUACAUUAAAGAAUUCUGUUUUCUCUGCUUUAGUAUAUUUUCUACUGCAGUGGGAUGUUGGCCUGUCUUGUGAAUCCUAAAGAAAGGUGGAUUGUGACUACAACUAUAUUAUGCUAUUUUCUUCCUUUUAACUCUGGUUUUUUUUUUUUUUUGGUUUUU